CACGGGGGUUGGAGGGCAAGUCUGGUGCCAGCAGCCGCGGUAAUUCCAGCUCCAAUAGCGUAUAUUAAAGUUGUUGCAGUUAAAAAGCUCGUAGUUGAAUUUCGGGAUUGACGUGACGGUCGUGCCUUAAGGGGUAUGAACUGUCGUUGUUGAUUUCUCACCUUCUGGAGAAGCUCGAUGUCCUUAAUUGGAUGUCUUGUGGAACCAGGACCUUUACCUUGAAAAAAUUAGAGUGUUUAAAGCAGGCAUUUUGCUCGAAUACAUUAGCAUGGAAUAAUAGAAUAGGACGGCAUGGUUCUAUUUUGUUGGUUUCUAGGAUCACCGUAAUGAUUAAUAGGGAUAGUUGGGGGCAUUAGUAUUCAAUUGUCAGAGGUGAAAUUCUUGGAUUUAUUGAAGACUAACUACUGCGAAAGCAUUUGCCAAGGAUGUUUUCAUUAAUCAAGAACGAAAGUUAGGGGAUCGAAGACGAUCAGAUACCGUCGUAGUCUAACCAUAAACUAUGCCGACUAG
rnacentral:rRNA from 1 species